GCCCUGUGGUUACUGGAAACUGUUGUGUUGGUACAGUGCUCCAGUUAGUAAAAAUGGGCCAAAAGUAAUACUGUGGUUUAUGCAUGGAGUCUGUGAUAUCUUGGCAGCCUCCAUAGCCCGGUUACAGUUACAUUU
ensembl:snoRNA SNORA84 small nucleolar RNA, H/ACA box 84